rnacentral:snRNA from 1 species
AUGCUCACUUCUGCACAUGCGCUACAACUGGAAUGAAACAAAGAUCAGCCAGGCCCCUGGGCAAGGCCAACACUCAUCUGUAAAACAUUCCUUAUUUAU